CAGUAGCCACGGUAAUACGAAGGGGGCUAGCGUUGUUCGGAAUUACUGGGCGUAAAGCGCACGUAGGCGGAUAUUCAAGUCAGGGGUGAAAUCCCAGAGCUCAACUCUGGAACUGCCUUUGAUACUGGGUAUCUUGAGUAUGGAAGAGGUGAGUGGAAUUCCGAGUGUAGAGGUGAAAUUCGUAGAUAUUCGGAGGAACACCAGUGGCGAAGGCGGCUCACUGGUCCAUUACUGACGCUGAGGUGCGAAAGCGUGGGGAGCAAACAGGAUUAGAUACCCGUGUAGUCCCUGUCUCUUAUAU
rnacentral:rRNA from 1 species